UUUAACGGCCGCGGUAUCCUGACCGUGCAAAGGUAGCGCAAUCACUAGCCUCUUAAUUGGGGGCCCGUAUGAAUGGCUAAACGAGGGCUCGACUGUCUCCUCACCCCAGUCAAUGAAACUGAUCUCCCCGUGCAGAAGCGGGGAAUUUUCCCACAAGACGAGAAGACCCCAUGAAGCUUUAGACACCCUGAACCCAAGGUUACGUUUCUUAUCUCACAAGUGCUCCGCCUACCCCUUUUGAACAUGUCUUCGGUUGGGGCGACCUAGGAGGAGAACUGAGCCUCCUUGUGAUAAGGGACAAAACCCCUACCCCCUAGAGCUACCCCUCUAAGCAGCAUAACCCUGACCUCACAGACCCGGCAAUGCCGAUCAACGGAACGAGUUACUCUGGGGAUAACAGCGCAAUCC
rnacentral:rRNA from 1 species